rnacentral:RNase_P_RNA from 1 species
GGUGGAACGCGGUAAACCCCUCGAGCGGGCAACCCAAACUUUGGUAGGGGCGCUUGACCUAACAAAUUGAAGUGAUGGUCGGGGAGACAGAAAUGUCUGAGAUAGAUGAUUGCCACCAGGUAUUGACCGCCAAUCAAUAUUCGGUACAAAACAUGGCUUAUAGCU